rnacentral:rRNA from 1 species
UACGUAGGGUGCAAGCGUUGUCCGGAAUUAUUGGGCGUAAAGAGCUCGUAGGCGGUUUGUCGCGUCUGCUGUGAAAAACUCGGGGCUUAACCCCGGGCCUGCAGUGGGUACGGGCAGACUAGAGUGCGGUAGGGGAGACUGGAAUUCCUGGUGUAGCGGUGAAAUGCGCAGAGUAUCAGGAGGAACACCGGUGGCGAAGGCAGCUCGCUGGGACGUUACUGACGCUGAGACGCGAAAGCGUGGGGAGCAAACAGG